UACGGGGGGGAGCAAGCGUUGUUCGGAUUUACUGGGCGUAAAGGGCGCGUAGGCGGCCACCGCAAGUCAAUUGUGAAAUCUCCGGGCUUAACUCGGAAAGGUCAACUGAUACUGCGGGGCUAGAGUGCAGAAGGGGCAACUGGAAUUCUCGGUGUAGCGGUGAAAUGCGUUGAUAUCAUCAGGAACACCGGAGGCGAAGGCGGCUCACUGGGUCUUUUCUGACGCUGAGGGACGAAAGCUAGGGGAGCGAACGGG
rnacentral:rRNA from 1 species